UUUGAUAGCAGGUCAGACACUGGUAGCUUUACACAGGACGCUAUGAAGUGCUUGUAAUGUUACUUCACAUUGUUUAUUCAAAAGUAAUGUUCCAGAGUCUAUGCACAUGUGAGUAUUAGAGCAGCAUAACCUCAUAAUUGUGGUUUAGACAAGCAUCUGUCUUUUUCUCUAGCAUUUGCAAAAUUUGGCGUGCCAGCUAUAACAGAGGGCGUGAAGGUUCUUGACUGUUCUGGGACUGAGUUGGAUGAAGAUGUGUUUGAGGAUGUUGUUAAGGAUCCCUCAGCUGGAGUCCUAACCAUCAAAUAUGAAACUGAAUUUGUCUCCAUGGUGGAAUUGCCUGAGGAAUCUCAGCCAAGCUCAUCUGAUUCUCAAGAGACACUCAUUCUUUCAGAGAUUCCUUCCACUAAACGCCAGCGCCUGGACACAGAAGCUAAGCAUGACAUCACCACCCAGAGAGGUUAAAGAAAUGUAUGCCAGAGGAAUUGUGAGCUUAUUCCCCUACCUCAGUGAUCCAUUCUCCAGGAAUGGUUAUGUGGAGCAGGAUUUUGUCCUGAUAUUUGGAGAAGAUGUUUCUGGAGAAAUGGACGACCACGUUCAAGAGAAAGAUCAUCCAACAAUGCAGAAAGCUUCCAACCAUCAGUGACCUUGAAAAACUUCUCCUGGCAGCUGAUACUCCUGAGGAUGGCACUGAAGUGGUUGAUGACAUGAGUUGGGACAGUGACCUCUCAUCAAUUUUGCUGUUGCUACACCUGAUUCCCCCCUCUGCCUUGGGUCGUCGGAGACCAGGGAAGGUGUCUGCCUCCCAAGCAGAGAAGCAUCUUGUGGUCUUCAGGAAGGUUUGUAUUUGUUGCAAAUUUUAUUUUUAUUCACCUUCCUCUCUUGGUGCUUUUGACAAACUGUUUAAGGCACAUUAUGUGUUUGCUACAACAUACAACCCCAUGCUGUGCAACAUGUUUACGUUCAUCCAGACCACUGUGUACAAUAUAGAUGUAGGUAAAGUGAAAGAAAGUCCUCGGGCUAGGUUGCUUCACUAGUACUUGGAAAAAAAAUCUGUUUGGCAUUAAGAGUUAAGCUGCACAAAUGUACUUGUUCGGUAUAUACGAGUAGUUAGUUCAUGGUUACUUGGAUGGAAAAACUCUUUGCCUUAAAUGUACUCUAUCAAGUUCGAGCCGUCUAUUGUAAUGGGAUGUACAUCAUGUGACACUACCAAAAGUUAACAGUGGAUCUUAAGAAUGUGCUUUUGUUCAAUAAAUAAGUUAAAUGCAUUUCUGUGGUAA